rnacentral:rRNA from 1 species
GACGAACGCUGGCGGCGCGCUUAACACAUGCAAGUCGAACGGAAAGGCCUGCUUUCCCUUGUGGAUUGCGGGUACUCGAGUGGCGAACGGGUGAGUAACACGUGAGUGAUCUGCCCCCAACUUGGGUAUAAGCCUGGGAAACUGGGUCUAAUUCCCGAUAGGACUGCAGGGUGGUGCCUGUGGUGGAAAACGAUUUGCUAGUGGUUGGGGAUGAGCUCGCGGCCUAUCAGCUUGUUGGUGGGGUAAUGGCCUCCCAAGGCGGCGACGGGUAGCCGGCCUGAGAGGGUGGACGGCCACAUUGGGACUGAGAUACGGCCCAGACUCCUACGGGAGGCAGCAGUGGGGAAUAUUGCACAAUGGGCGGAAGCCUGAUGCAGCGACGCCGCGUGGGGGAUGACGGCCUUCGGGUUGUAAACUCCUUUCGACCGCGAGGAAGCCACCUGGUUGGAAGGGUGGUGACGGUAGUGGUAGAAGAAGCACCGGCUAACUACGUG